UGGUAGGAUCGAAGGACCCCUGGAUUCUAAGC
rnacentral:piRNA from 1 species